rnacentral:rRNA from 1 species
GAUGAACGCUGGCGGCGUGCCUAAUACAUGCAAGUCGAGCGAACAGAUAAGGAGCUUGCUCCUUUGACGUUAGCGGCGGACGGGUGAGUAACACGUGGGUAACCUACCUAUAAGACUGGAAUAACUCCGGGAAACCGGGGCUAAUGCCGGAUAACAUUUAGAACCGCAUGGUUCUAAAGUGAAAGAUGGUUUUGCUAUCACUUAUAGAUGGACCCGCGCCGUAUUAGCUAGUUGGUAAGGUAACGGCUUACCAAGGCAACGAUACGUAGCCGACCUGAGAGGGUGAUCGGCCAAACUGGAACUGAGACACGGUCCAGACUCCUACAGGAGGCAGCAGUAGGGAAUCUUCCGCAAUGGGCGAAAGCCUGACGGAACAACGCCGAGGGAGUGAUGAAGGUAAUCGGAUCGUAAAACUCUGUUAUUAGGGAAGAACAAAUGUGUAAGUAACUGUGCAAGUCUUGACGGUACCUAAUCAGAAAGCCAAGGCUAAAUACGUG